rnacentral:rRNA from 1 species
UACGUAGGGUGCGAGCGUUGUUCGGAAUUACUGGGCGUAAAGGGCGCGUAGGCGGCCUGCUAAGUCGGACGUGAAAUCCCUCGGCUCAACCGGGGAACUGCGUCCGAAACUGGCGGUCUGGAGUAGUGGAGAGGAAAGCAGAAUUCCUGGUGUAGAGGUGAAAUUCGUAGAUAUCAGGAGGAACACCGGUGGCGAAGGCGGCUUUCUGGGACACUUACUGACGCUGAGACGCGAAAGCGUGGGGAGCAAAACAGG